GAUGAACGCUGGCGGCGUGCCCUAUACAUGCAAGUCGAGCGAACGGACGAGAAGCUUGCUUCUCUGAUGUUAGCGGCGGACGGGUGAGUAACACGUGGAUAACCUACCUAUAAGACUGGGGUAACUUCGGGAAACCGGGGCUAAUACCGGAUAAUAUUUUGAACCGCAUGGUUCAAAAGUGAAAGACGGUCUUGCUGUCACUUAUAGAUGGAUCCGCGCUGCCUUAGCUAGUUGGUAAGGUAAAGGCUUACCAAGGCAACGAUGCAUAGCCGACCUGAGAGGGUGAUCGGCCACACUGGAACUGAGACACGGUCCAGACUCCUACGGGAGGCAGCAGUAGGGAAUCUUCCGCAAUGGGCGAAAGCCUGACGGAGCAACGCCGCGUGAGUGAUGAAGGUCUUCGGAUCGUAAAACUCUGUUAUUAGGGAAGAACAUAUGUGUAAGUAACUGUGCACAUCUUGACGGUACCUAAUCAGAAAGCCACGGCUAACUACGUG
rnacentral:rRNA from 1 species